CUAUUUCCUCUUAAUUUUGGAGCUCAAGUUGAAAAUCCACCUCCACUUAGCUUUGCAAAUUAGUUGAAAUUAGAGAGUAUUGAAGCGAGUGAUCUCGCUUGUGGGCAGCUGCACGUGUCAAGCCACUACCCUCCUUUUUGCUGGUACAGUUGGAAUUCUCACGUGGCAUGCUUAGGGUAGCUUUUGUUUGUAGAUAGUUGGUUUGGAGAUGUAAGGUUAUGUAACCUUCUUUUGCUAGUGGGGUUGUAAGUAAUUGUCAAAGCAUGUCAUCGUUAUUUUGUUAUGUAUAGUAGUAAAUGACUGUGCUAACAGUUUAGUUACUUA